AGAAAAAGUUUUCAACCUCAUAAAUCGUGGAUCCAAUAAUAUCACCACCGAACGAUCAACGAUGCCUGUGCAGCAGAUCUUGAUAUCGGAGGUGGAACCACCAAGUCCGAUGAGAUACCUGAUCAGAUCAGCAAUCAUGAUGAUCAGCGUCGUUUUGCCUCUUGGUUAUAUGAUGUUUCGCAACA